AGUAACACGUGGAUAACCUACCUAUAAGACUGGGAUAACUUCGGGAAACCGGUGCUAAUACCGGAUGAUAUUUUGAACCGCAUGGUUCAAAAGUGAAAGACGGUCUUGCUGUCACUUAUAGAUGGAUCCGCGCUGCAUUAGCUAGUUGGUAAGGUAACGGCUUACCAAGGCAACGAUGCAUAGCCGACCUGAGAGGGUGAUCGGCCACACUGGAACUGAGACACGGUCCAG
rnacentral:rRNA from 1 species